rnacentral:sRNA from 2 species
UCUGGUGGAUUGCCUAAUCCUGCCGCCGUCGGAAGGUCCGUUCGCUACACACUGCGGCAGGAGCGGGGGAACCAGAUAGCGGGCUUCUUCAGAAGUCCUAGGGGUGAAGACGUACCGGUCCAAGACCAGUAGUCCGGGUGGCUCCCAUCCGAAUCCGACAGCUAACUCCGCCGGCAUUGGGAGAGGCUAU